CAUCAUCAUCGCCAUCACUGGCA
rnacentral:siRNA from 1 species